rnacentral:lncRNA from 1 species
AUGCCCGGAUCCAGAGCCGGAAGUUCCCCAGAAGCAGAGUACGUCAUCCCAGCGCCGGAGCCCGGCCCCGCGACAGCAACCAGAGCAGUUCCAGCUUCGCCACGGCCACAACCACGGGAUUCACAGCCACAACCAACCACACAUCAGAAGGAAACACAAGAUCUCCACAGAGACAACCACAGUCUUCACCUAACGCCAGGUCCAGCACCACUCCUAUCAAACACCAUCACAACACGUGUGAGCUGCAGAGUACAAACCCUGAUGAAAAAUGCAAACUUGUCUACUUUAGCUCACAGAUGCUGUUUUGGCUUCAAAUGCGUUGCUGGAUUGGCUUUGGUUAAGUCACCCAGGUUGCAAAAUGGGAGCAACAAACUGCAUGUCUCAUCAGACCUUCACCGAGUCAUUCUGAGAGUGCCAUGCUUCAUUGCCAGCUACACAGACAAUUUUUACAUCUAGGAUGGAGUCUGCAAUGUCUAUCAGGACCAACAUGGACUCCAGAAAUAUAGUCAUAGACAUGUCUGAGAAAGCAAGCAGCAAGCCUCUUCUGAGGUGAGAGGAGGCCUCAGGGAAACAUCUCAAAGUGUGAAACCACGACUAGAUUAAAGAAGAUUUAAAGCACAGAUUAAAAGGAACUCUUAUUAGAGAACACAUUAGAAGAAGUAGGACAACCAGAACAUUUUCUCAGGGUGUGCUCAGAACCACAGAGGAAUUGUUUCAAAGAGCAGUGGUUCAUGACUAAAAGAGACAGUUUAAAGUGGUUUUGGUCAUCAUAUGUCUCUCAUUUUUACCACAGGUUUAGCCUUGCAUGCGUAAACAGUCCAAUUCCAGUACAAGGGGCAUCUCAUUUAUUACUAAAUGCUGUUAUUUAAAUGUUGACAGUUUGAAGCAAGGGAGCAAUGCUAAAUUUUUAUGCUCUUACAAUCCUUCUCCACCCUCUUUGGGAUGAAAGCACAUCAGGGUUAACCUGCACAUAUUGGCUGGGUGGGAGCACAACUUUUGGCCAGAUACUACUGGUUCCAGUGCUUAUUUACCUAGCAAAUUUUAUUGUCUCCAGUCAAGCUAUUUCCAUUUAUAAAGACCAUUCUUCUUGUAAAGGAGUGUACUAGUAGUUUUUUUGUUUGUGACUGACAAGUAGAUGGCCUUUUAGCUGGCAAUAUCCCUAAACUAUAUGUAGCUGUAUGACGAGAAGAUUUACUUGAAGAAACUCAAACAUUCAUGUUGAACUUGCCUUAAAAUUUAAAUGUCAGAGUUUCCCAUUUUUGAAAUAUCUAACUCCCACUGAUUCCAGUGAUAGAUAAUAAUUACCUUUGAGGUUUUGAACCUGGAGCAUAGCAGAAGGCAAAAUAUAACUCACAGAAAUAUAUAAUGGAAAAAUAAUUACAUUGUAAAAAUAACUUGCAGUGCUGUUGCUAUGAAUGUUCUGCACUUGGAUGUUUCUUUUAAAGGAAUUUCAAGAUUUAUAAGUCUGGUUCUACAAUGCUUUAGAACUCAAAUCUGAGAUAGGCUAUGUUUUUUUUCAAUACCACUAACACAUGAAUUUAGUUCAAAUUGAAUUGAAUGUAGUUUAAGCCCACAAGAAUGAGUAUGAUUUUCUUGACAGAAAAUCAAAUUGACUCAAUUUUCUUCUAUAUGUAUUUGAUAAUGUAAGCUACAGAAUCACUCAGUUGUUCUUGUAUAAAGACUGUACCUCUGUAAAAUUCUAAAACUAAACUCUCAAAUAAGUGUAUUAGAGAUAACAAGCUCUAUUGACUGUUAUGAGAACAAGAUAUGUGUCACCCUGAAAACUCAGCUUCUGAGCUUGCUAUAACAUAGUUUUCUAAGGACUUUCCCAGGACAGUAACUGUAAACAUAGAUAUGUGUACAUUCUUUCUGUUACACAUCUUGUGAUGGGCAUCUCUCAUAGCCAGUGCAGUGGGAAAGUGUUAUCCUGACCAUCCAAUCCCUGGCCGUGGUCACAAGCCUAUAAAUCCUGGGAGGAAAAAUAAACUCUGCUCUUUCUUCA